rnacentral:rRNA from 1 species
CCUACGGGAGGCAGCAGUGAGGAAUAUUGGUCAAUGGGCGGAAGCCUGAACCAGCCAAGUCGCGUGAGGGCAUAAGGCCCUACGGGUCGUGAACCUCUUUUGCCGGGGAGCAAGGGCGGGGACGUGUCCCGGCCCGGAGAGUACCCGGAGAAAAAGCCUCGGCUACCUCCGUGCCAGCCGACGCGGUCAUACGGGGGAUGCGAGCUUUAUCCGGAUUUAUUGGGUUUAAUGGGUGCGUAGGCGGGCUUUAAAGUCAACGGUAAAACAUCGGGGCUAAACCCCGUCCUGCCGUUGAAACUGGGGGCCUUGAGUGGGCGAGAGGAAGGCGGAAUGCGUGGUGUAGCGGUGAAAUGCGUAGAUAUCACGCAGAACCCCGAUUGCGAAGGCAGCCUUCCGGCGCCCUACUGACGCUGAGGCACGAAAGUGCGGGGAUCGAACAGGAUUAGAUACCCCUGUAGUC